rnacentral:rRNA from 1 species
UACGUAGGGACCAAGCGUUGUCCGGAUUUAUUGGGCGUAAAGCGCGCGUAGGCGGCCCUGUAAGUCCGUUGUGAAAGUCAAAGGCUCAACCUUUGAAAGCCGAUGGAUACUGCAGGGCUAGAGUCCGGAAGAGGCGAGUGGAAUUCCUGGUGUAGCGGUGGAAUGCGCAGAUAUCAGGAGGAACACCAAUAGCGAAGGCAGCUCGCUGGGACGGUACUGACGCUAAGGCGCGAAAGCGUGGGGAGCGAACAGG